rnacentral:rRNA from 1 species
AAAGGUAAGCUACUAAGAGCGAAUGGUGGAUGCCUUGACUGGUAAAGGCGAUGAAGGACGUACUAGACUGCGAUAAGCUACGGGGAGCUGUCAAGAAGCUUUGAUCCGUAGAUUUCCGAAUGGGGCAACCCAAUGUAUAGAGAUAUACAUUACCUAUAUAGGAGCGAACGAGGGGAAUUGAAACAUCUUAGUACCCUCAGGAAAAGAAAUCAAUAGAGAUUGCGUCAGUAGCGGCGAGCGAAAGCGUAAGAGGGCAAACCCAGUGCUUGCACUGGGGGUUGUAGGACUGCAAUGUGCAAGAGGUGAGUUUAGCAGAACAUUCUGGAAAGUAUAGCCAUAGAGGGUGAUAGUCCCGUAUGCGAAAAACAAACCUUAGCUAGCAGUAUCCUGAGUAGGGCGGGACACGAGAAAUCC